GGCGAACGGGUGAGUAAUACGUGAGUAACCUGCCCUUGACUCUGGGAUAAGCCUGGGAAACUGGGUCUAAUACUGGAUACUACCUCUUGCCGCAUGGUGGGUGGUGGAAAGGGUUUUACUGGUUUUGGAUGGGCUCACGGCCUAUCAGCUUGUUGGUGGGGUAAUGGCUCACCAAGGCGACGACGGGUAGCCGGCCUGAGAGGGUGACCGGCCACACUGGGACUGAGACACGGCCCAGACUCCUACGGGAGGCAGCAGUGGGGAAUAUUGCACAAUGGGCGGAAGCCUGAUGCAGCGACGCCGCGUGAGGGAUGACGGCCUUCGGGUUGUAAACCUCUUUCAGUAGGGAAGAAGCGAGAGUGACGGUACCUGCAGAAGAAGCGCCGGCUAACUACGUGCCAGCAGCCGCGGUAAUACGUAGGGCGCAAGCGUUGUCCGGAAUUAUUGGGCGUAAAGAGCUCGUAGGCGGUUUGUCGCGUCUGCUGUGAAAGCCCGGGGCUCAACCCCGGGUCUGCAGUGGGUACGGGCAGACUAGAGUGCAGUAGGGGAGACUGGAAUUCCUGGUGUAGCGGUGAAAUGCGCAGAUAUCAGGAGGAACACCGAUGGCGAAGGCAGGUCUCUGGGCUGUUACUGACGCUGAGGAGCGAAAGCAUGGGGAGCGAACAGGAUUAGAUACCCUGGUAGUCCAUGCCGUAAACGUUGGGCACUAGGUGUGGGGGACAUUCCACGUUUUCCGCGCCGUAGCUAACGCAUUAAGUGCCCCGCCUGGGGAGUACGGCCGCAAGGCUAAAACUCAAAGGAAUUGACGGGGGGCCCGCACAAGCGGCGGAGCAUGCGGAUUAAUUCGAUGCAACGCGAAGAACCUUACCAAGGCUUGACAUUCACCGGACCGCCCCAAAUGGGGGUUUCCCUUCGGGGCUGGG
rnacentral:rRNA from 2 species